UACGUAGGGUGCAAGCGUUGUCCGGAAUUAUUGGGCGUAAAGCGCGCGUAGGCGGCCCCAUAAGUCCGCUGUGAAAGUCAAAGGCUCAACCUUUGAAAGCCGGUGGAUACUGUGGGGCUAGAGUACGGAAGAGGCGAGUGGAAUUCCUGGUGUAGCGGUGGAAUGCGCAGAUAUCAGGAGGAACACCAAUAGCGAAGGCAGCUCGCUGGGACGUUACUGACGCUGAGGCGCGAAAGCGUGGGGAGCGAACAGG
rnacentral:rRNA from 1 species